rnacentral:tRNA from 2 species
GCCGGGGUCGCAUAAUGGUAUUGCACUGGUCUCGAAAACCAGCGUCCUUUGGACUUGGGAGUUCGAAUCUCUCCCCCGGCG